AAUGUAACCUGGUUUAUUGGGCUCGCGGCGUAUUCUUGCGUUCCUUCUGCACUGGGACAAGACACCACUGCACUAUUGGAGUAUGGCAAGCUGGUGGCGUCCGGUGGAGCUUCAUACAGGAACUACUGCCUUACCUGCUGGUGUCACAACGUUGGAUGAACGCACAAAAAGCGCGGAACGAGCUUUUAUAUAGAGCAAAAUAAAUAUUUCCUCAUUGAACAAAA